rnacentral:rRNA from 1 species
UUAAUUGAAGAGUUUGAUCAUGGCUCAGAUUGAACGCUGGCGGCAGGCCUAACACAUGCAAGUCGAACGGUAACAGGGAGCAGCUUGCUGCUCUGCUGACGAGUGGCGGACGGGUGAGUAAUGUCUGGGAAACUGCCUGAUGGAGGGGGAUAACUACUGGAAACGGUAGCUAAUACCGCAUAACGUCUACGGACCAAAGUGGGGGACCUUCGGGCCUCAUGCCAUCAGAUGUGCCCAGAUGGGAUUAGCUAGUAGGUGGGGUAACGGCUCACCUAGGCGACGAUCCCUAGCUGGUCUGAGAGGAUGACCAGCCACACUGGAACUGAGACACGGUCCAGACUCCUACGGGAGGCAGCAGUGGGGAAUAUUGCACAAUGGGCGCAAGCCUGAUGCAGCCAUGCCGCGUGUAUGAAGAAGGCCUUCGGGUUGUAAAGUACUUUCAGCGGGGAGGAAGGCGUUGUGGUUAAUAACCACAGCGAUUGACGUUACCCGCAGAAGAAGCACCGGCUAACUCCGUGCCAGCAGCCGCGGUAAUACGGAGGGUGCAAGCGUUAAUCGGAAUUACUGGGCGGAA